UGUCUUAACUUUCUCAUUUCUGCUAUGAAAUACCACCUCCGCUGCUGUCUGUACAGAAAUCUACACCAAACCUGUCUCUCUCCAACCACCCCACCUUCUGCAUGACAUGCCUCCAACGGAUCCUGCCCGGAGUGCAACGCUCAGAUCAAGCUUUCAGAUCAACAAAAAUCUGAAGAACUUGGCAGAGCAGCUGAAAGAAGAGGCGAGACAGGAAAGGGCCAAAGAUUAUUGGUGCCCAGACCAACACCAGGAACUGAGCCUGUUCUGCAAGCUCAUCUGCCUGGUGUCUAGGGAUGGAAGCGAGCACGUCAGCCACUCAAUCAGGCCUCUCAGAGAACAGGAGAAUCAGGUGAAGAGGGAGGUGUUGGUUUGUUGUUUUUCUUGUUAUUGCAGACCUCAGGACAACAUAGAAUAACACAACCACCACUUACAGAAAGAGGAAUCUUCUGCUCUGAACUAAGAUUAACUCCUGGGAUGCAGGCUGACAUGGACAUGGCUGAGUUUGGGGGGUUUCUAAAUUGAUGGAUACCUAAACCACAAGGAGAGGUAACUCUGGAUCUUCCUUUCCUGUGGUGGUCCUCAUAAGAGCCAGCUUCAUCAUAGCGCCUUUUGCGACAGCAGUUGAAGACAUUUUCAAACUUCUUGAAACAUUCGUAUUGACUGACCUUCAUGUAUUAAAGUAAUGAUGGACUGUCAUUUCUCUUUGCUUAUUUGAGCUGUUGUUGCCAUAAUAUGGAUCAUCUUCUGUAUACCACCCCUACCUUAUCAUAACUACUGAUUUAGCUCAAACAAAUCAAGGAAAGAAAUUCCACAAAUGUAACUUUUAACAAGGCACACCUGUUAAUUGAAAUGCAUUCCAGUUGGCUACCUCAUGAAGCUGGUUGAGAGAAUGCCAAGAGUGUGUAUAGCUGUCAAGGCAAAUGGUGGCUACUUUGAAGAAUCUGUUAUGAUAUGUUUUGAUUAACAUUUUUUUGGUUACUACAUAUGUGUUAUUUUAUAAUUUUGAUGACUUCACUAUUAUUCUACAAUGUAGAAAAUAGUACAAAGAAAGAAAUCCGCUGGCAUGAUUAGGUGUCGAAACUUUUGACUUGUACUGUAUAUCAACCUCUGAAAUCGAGAACCAAUUAUUUCGAUACAUUGAAUGGUUGCAUACACUGAAGGACGAACAUUCAGUGUAUACAAGAAAUUGGUUCUCACUGGUAAACAUACUUCUAAAUUCAAUUGAUUGCAAGUUCUGUGUGAUCUAGUUCCUGUGUGUGUGUCCUGGCUUUUCCAUUUAAAAUGUGUGUACUCCACAGUGCAGUUCAACUUUCAAAGACAUCCGAGGAUAUGAGCUGAACUGAAUGCAUUAUCAAAGAAGUCUACAGUACAAGAGGGAUGAUGUUGAUGUUCAUGAUGUUGUUUCAUGGCUAAUGCUCUACUGCUUUGUGUGAGAAUUGGCCCCCUGCCCCUCUUCUAAAAAGUAAAGUCUUCUCGCUCUGGAUGAUUGAGAUUGACUUCGGGAUGAGGAAAAUCUGUAAGGACAUGUCUAUUUUACACUCGUUCCUCUCUCUUCCUCUCCGUUUAACUGGGAUAUAGUCACUCCCGUUGUCUGUAGACAACAUGAUAUCCUUCCUUAGGGAGCUUUUUAGUCAUUCAGUUUUUAUUGUUAUUCUUUUGUUUUUUUUAUCCUCUUAUGUUUGUUGUGUACUACAUUUUUUAAUUGUUUUUUCCUGUGAAGCAAGUUGCAUUCCAUGUCUGAAAUGUGCUGUAUAAAUAAAGCUUGAUGUGAUUUAA